GUGAGGUUAUUGUAGUUUGACUGCACACAUACAUGGUCUCUAGCCAUAUGGGUCCAUGCAGUGUAGAUUGGCGGCAGUAAGUUUACUGUAGGAGUAGGGUAUGCACCUAUAAGGAAUCUAUCGACCUUGAUAGAAGAGGAGUGAUCCUAUGUGAUUUGUUAGACUGAGUUCUAAGACCUUGGCCAGGGCAGUAAUAUAAAGUGGAAAAAGAGUUUUCCACUAUCGAACUCAAGUCGAAUAAAUCUUGACAUAUGACAGACGAUGGGGUUUGACGAGUUGUCCAUGACCUCCGUCCUGUAGGGAUCCACGAUAGUAUGACUGUAUCACAUGUUAACUACACCUAGAGGUUCAUCAUUACAUUCUGCUGGAUAGCCACUACAUGCUGCUAGGUGUCACUGGUGGAUGGUGGGACUCACAGGGAUUAUCUCGAUGAUCGAUAAACCCUAAUGAAUAGAGUUGGAAUCGUUCCAACCCAUUGAAAGGAGUUUUCAAUGAUAUAGUGAUAGAGAUCACAAUAUAUCUCACUACCAGUCAGAGUAGAACCUAUGGGGUCACACACACUAGAAG
rnacentral:lncRNA from 1 species